rnacentral:rRNA from 1 species
GUAUAUUAUGAAUAAGGUCCGGCUAACUACGUGCCAGCAGCCGCGGUAAAACGUAGGGACCUAGCGUUGUUCGGAAUUACUGGGCGUAAAGGGUAUGCAGGCUGUUAUAUAAGUCAGAUGUGAAAGACCCGGGCUCAACCUUGGAAUUGCGUCUGAUACUGUAUAACUUGGGUAGCUGAGAGGAAGUCGGAAUUCCUGGUGUAGGGGUGAAAUCUAUAGAUAUCAGGAAGAACACCAGUAGCGUAGCCGGACUUCUGGCAGCUUACCGACGCUGAGGUACGAAAGGUAGGGUAGCAAACAGGAUUAGAGACCCUGGUAGUCAUACCUGUAAACGUUGUAUACUAGGUGGUGGAAGCUUAAUAUCUUUCUCUGCCGGAGUUAACGCAUUAAGUAUACCGCCUGGGGAGUAUGCCGGCAACGGUGAAACUCAAAGGAAUUGACGGGGCCCCGCACAAGCAGUGGAGCAUGUUGAUUAAUUCGAUGAUACGCGAGGAACCUUACCAGCUCUUGACAUAUAUCUGACGCACAUAGAGAUAUGUGUUCUCUUUUGAGCAGAUAUACAGGUGAUGCAUGGUCGUCGUC